UUUUCCAUUUUUUUCACUAAAAUGAAUGUUUUGUCUUUUCCUUGAUGAAAUUUAGCAGAAUGACAUGGAUGAAAAAGGAGGAAGUUUUAGACAGAAUAGAUUUUUCUAAAUUUAGGAACUUUUAAUACAAAUCCUUCAGUAUGAUUCUAAAUAAAGCAAGCUUGAAAAAUCUUCAGUACAAUGCCUCUUACAAUCAGAUGAAACUGUUCAGCUCUUUUGUCUGGCUACUGAAUUUCUCUCAGCGCACCUCCCAGUUACACACUGGCAACACUUCAGUGGGAAAAGACCCACUGAAAUAUUGACAAACCCAUGCAGGCUUUAGUGAUUGCUGAUGUGCAAAGAGACCUGCUCAAUACAGAUGUUUCAGCUUUUGAGACUGUGAGGAGCCUCAUCCCUGGCACUGGGCCACGGGGCCAAAAUCUCGUGGAGCUGUGGCAGUGUCUGAGGCAGGGCUGUGCUGCAGGGGUGCCCUGCACUGCCUGGGUUUGUCACCUGCACAGGGCAGGGCCAGGGGCUGUCACUCCUCCUGGGAGCUUUGCACAGAAUGGAGGAUGGACCCAAAAGAAGCUUCAUAAUUCAGCAACGAAAACCCCAGGAAACUUUAAAUUCUAACCUAUUUCUACUCUGAGCUGAGGGUUGGGCUAGAGGCCACGGGAGGUCUCUCCCAGCAAAAAUAUUGUUCUAUUGUUUUGUUAGAGAAAUUUCAACUAGUUUUACCUUUGCUUUAAUUUAUAAACCUUAUCUAUGAGUUACUAAGUCCUAAGAAGUUUUGCUUUUUUUUUUUUUUACCCUCAAUAUUAACAGAAAUAUAAAACAUGAAUUAUUUUCUAUUUAUUUCUAUUUUUAUUUUUAUUUAUUUUUAUUUCUAUUUAUUUUCUUUGCCUCUUCCUAAGCUUUCUCUUUCCCUUUUCUGCACAGGAUAUAAAUGUGAAUAUCUGAGUGAAAUUGAAGAUUUUUGUGUCAUUUUGCCCCCUCAUCCCCUGAUUAGUCACCUUCUCUCUAGGAAACCUUCCAAAUAGCAGAAGUGAAGAGGAAAUCUUGGCCCUUAGGUCUUUAUUGGUACAGUAAUGAUACUGUAAUAUUUGCAAAGCAUUUAUUUCUGCAAGAAAGGUAAAAGGAACAACAUGGUCAUUCAUUUUUGCUGCUUACAGAGGUGAAAAAAAAAGGAAAGAUAUAAACAACACUAUAUAUGUUAAAAUACUUUAAAAACAAUAGAGAGUUCCUGUAUUUUCAAUCCUUUCAAACAUUUUUUCCUCAAGUAUUGGUAUAAGCAACAAUACUUUUCCCUUUUUGUGAGAUUCUUCGUCCUACUAUGACCCAGGUGAGCUGUUCUGGCUUCAGUACAAUCACUGUCCUUUGUUCUGUAGCUGCAGCUUAUGCUGAUUCAAUGGGAUGAGACAUUUUGUGAGAAAAGAUCAUUAAGCACCAGGGGGGAUGCACUGGCUGAGUAUUGGUGCAGGUAAGACCCACAAGUUUGCCAGCACUUCAGCUGAAACUUGUCUGUGUUAGCAGGAAACCUGUGCCAGUUCCUGACAGUAGAAGUGUGGCUGAUCUGCCGUGUUCAGAUUAAGAACUGGUCAUUCCAAAAGUCUGACACUUGAUAUAUAUAUUUGGCUGACCAGUGGAAAAAAAAAAAAAGCAACAUCCAGUGCAAAGCUAUAAAAGCCCAAACCCUUCAGUGUCUCUUGAACCAACACCCUUAUUCCAGUCUGUGCUUACAGGAUGCCUGGGAUGUGCUUGAGCCACACUGAGCGUGGCAAUUUCACCUGGCUUCUCACAUAAGAACAGCAAAUAUUUCAGGCUCUGACCUUUCUACAAAGAUUAAACAAUCAUCUCUCUGCUAUGGGGGAGAAAAAGAAAAAAAAGGAAAAGAGAGUCUUAAUGGAAAACUGGAUGAUGCCUGCUAUCUCUGAUGAAGGGAUUAAGUUUCUAGUACAAGGUGAACAGUCAAAAGGUAUGCUGAAAAAAAAAGAGCUUAAAACAAUGGGGAAGUAUUUUGUCAACAUCCCACUCUGAACAAUUCCAAUUCCCAGUAGAGCCAUACAUUGAUUCAUCAAGUCCCAUUGUUCCUUGAUAGCCAGAAAUUAAUGAAGAGUAAAAGCAAACACAAUUCUGAUUUGACUUGUAGAACCCUUUAAAUAACAAAUAUUUUAAUCUUUGCUUUUAGUGUCAUUCAUGUAACACAAAUUAUGGGAAAAAUGAAGACAUUUUUUCCCAGAAGAUUAGCAUUCCUUCUCUUUUAUUUGGCAGACUUUUUCCAGCUAAGAAAAUUUGUGACUGUGUUCCUCUCAUCAGAAAGCAUGCAGUUCUGUGUGGUGCCUGGAUAAAAUCUGAUUUCUGAAUGCUGACAAGGAUGUGUGAGUCACACGUUCUGGAGCUGACAUGGCACUUCUGUUCAGAUGGCUGCAGCAUCCUGCUUCUUUUACAGCACCAUCCAUCCUGAUCCAUGUAUGUGGAAGGCAAUUCCUGUGUGACUCAGGAACACAAAACCUAUUCAGCAAAGUGGUCCUUCAGUGUUCUGUGGGCAUGUGGCAGCUCCCUUCCACUCCUGCUGAAACCCUAAGUGCUAUCAAGCAAAAAGCAGAGCAGCCUGUUUCCCUGUUUUUACCACCAGUUUAUUAUUCUUCUCUGGAUUGUGGAGAAUCCUCAGGGUUAACACCUGGAAGGUUCUGUGUUCAGAAGAGAACAGACAAUGAUGUGCCCCCUGGUAAUCUGUGGAAAUUAUUGGCCUGUCUGUAGCUGUAUCCAGAACCAGCAGUUUUUGCUCAAGUCUCCAGUAACCUGCUCAGCAUCCUCCCUGUAUCACCAUCUUGGGAAAUGUGCUCCUACACAGUAAAGGUAAAUCAUAAAAUUGUCUUUCCAAAGAAGGGCAACAGGGCUGGGGAAGGGUCUGGAGCACAAGUCUGCUGAGGAGCAGCUGAUGGAGCUGGGGGUGAUUAUGCUGGAGAAAAGGAGGCUCAGGGGGGACAUUACCACUCUGUACAGCUGCCUGAAAGGAAGCUGCAAACAGGUGGAAGUGGGUCCCUGCUCCCAGGUGAAAAGUGUCAGAACAAGAGAAAAUGGCCUCAAGCUGCACUGUGGGAGGUUUAUAUGUGUGUGUCAUGCAAACUGUAAAUCACUUCAACUAAGAAAAAGUUGAAUAAAUUUGAAUUCUAUAUAUAUUUAUUCAUUCACUUCAAUAAUGAAAAAUGUGCUAUAAUUAUCUCUAAAUACAUUAUUUCGUUCAACAAUAUUGCACACUCAAUAUCCUCUCAAGUCUCAGAAUUCUCUACCACAUGUGUACUGACAGACAAACACUAAUAAAUCAAUUAUAUUUUUGGUUCUUAAUGAACAUUAAAUAGAAUUCACACCCCUUACAUGGCAAAUUUUUUCUCUCUCCCCCUUUCUCUCUUUCUUUAAUUCAUCCUUGCUUUCUGUCUUCCCUUUCACCCUACCCCUUUAUCCAAAACAUAUUGUUUUGUUUUU